CAAAUAUUGAAAAAUACCUCUUUUGAUGAAAACUAUACUGUUUUCUGCCUUCCUUUCCUAAUAUAAAUAUACCAACAUAAAAAUGUACCUAUAAAAAUAAUUUAUUAACAUUCUCCUUGGAAAAUGCCAUCUAUGUUCUGACUCCCUGCACUGGUGUCAGCAAUGAAAUUAUACAAUGGCAUUUUCUCUCCUCAACAUGUUGUGCUCCAGGAAGGAAAUCACCAGUUCAGAAGAAUUCCUGCAGAUGUAAGUGUUGGUAGAUGAACAGUCCCUCAUCUUGGUGUAGGAUCAUCAGUGGGAAUGCGGUUGAGGAUGCCUUGGUUUUCCAGCUCAACUACAAGGCAACAUUUCAGGCAGCAGACUAUGAGCAUCCGAACUGGCUCCAUCCAGUCCAGGAUCUGUCUCCAACAGGAAAAAGACACAACAGGCCAUUUUAUGACCAUCAGACGGUUUACACCUGAGGAGCAGCCAUGCCUCCUGCAAGCACCGCUGCGCACUGCUCAACAUCUGCCCCUCAGCACGUAUCAAAUAUCCCUCUCCAUGUCAGCAGCAUGAGGAAAACAGACAAGCUCACGGAGAAAAUAUAAAUCAAAAACCUCUGCUGCAGGGCAGGAUUUUGCUGGACAUUUUGGCAAGGCUGAGUCCCCAGCGCGCUCUCCUGGAGGUGCGCGAGUCCUGCUGAGCACCUGCUGCAAGGGCAUCCUGCAGUCCCUCUGGGCUUGAGUAUGUGCAAGCAAGGUGAUUUCAUCCAACCCAUACCUCGCUGUCUGCGUAGGGACGGGUCCCAGGAUGGCCCCGAGCCUGCAGCGGGGCCGCGGCCCCAGAGCCGGGAGCGAUGGGCUCGAUUUCCAGCUUGGCCACAGACUUCCUGUGUGGUCUUGGGCAAAUCAUACGCUGCAAGGCCCGCUCUCAUUCUGCUGAUAUUUUGAGAGAGCCGUGGUUUGGCAGGUGAACGAGCUGCAUAUAUCUGUGGGGAGAGGAUGUUUUAUUAUUAGCGCCGGUCGAAACACAAGCGCUGGCUCCGUGUGUGCGCAGGCGCACGCACGCGCUGCGAUUUUGCAAGCGUCUCGGUGCAAGGUUGGGAAGAGAGUGCUGGUUGGUGCUCAUGUAUGCCGGGGCUUCAUCCCCCCCUUGUGUGUAAAUGGCAGCAUCUCUGGGAAAGCAACCCUCAUCGAUGCGAGCGGCCGUGAAACGAGUCCAUCAUCACGUAUGUCCUCAGGAAUGCGCACUUGUGUGGGUCUCUGUAGACAACCCUGAUUCAUCACCUCCAAAGCAAUUAAUAAAACUCGGCUGGCCCUUCCCCA
rnacentral:lncRNA from 1 species